UGGCUUGCAAGACAAAGAAGGUGGUGUGAGGGAGCUACUUAUUGGCAAGGAUGAUGAGCUACUUCAGUUGGAAACAAGAACCCUUCCCAGGGCUGACGUUGCUGAAGUCAGCAUUCAGGUUAUCACUUGUGCUUGUAAAAAAAGUUUUUUUUUUUUCAUCAUAACAUGUAUACGCAACAAACUUCUCAGCCUAUGUGGAUUGUAAGUCCUGACGAUCAUAAAUUUCUCCACAGGCUGUACAGUUUGAGGAGGCGAAAAAUAAGGCAUUUGAUCUGGCCUCAAAGCCCGAGGGGACUGCCGCACCUACAAAGGAUUUCAAGGCUUUAUUCUCCCAAGUCACUACUCGCUUUUGAUGCAUUAGUGUGAAAAUCUAUAUGACUCUGGUUGUAUAUUUGUGACGGAUUAAAGUUCAGCAGUUAAGCGUGCGAGUUGCUAUUCAAACUACAACUGACGCUCCCAACUGGGCUAUCAAUAUAAGAAAUGCAGCUGGAAUAUCG
rnacentral:lncRNA from 1 species